UGGGGAAUAUUGCACAAUGGGGAAACCCGUAGAUGCAGCGACGCCGCGUGAACGAAGAAGUAUUUUCGGUAUGUAAAGUUCUAUCAGCAGGGAAGAUAAUGACGGUACCUGACUAAGAAGCACCGGCUAAAUACGUGCCAGCAGCCGCGGUAAUACGUAUGGUGCAAGCGUUAUCCGGAUUUACUGGGUGUAAAGGGCGUGCAGCCGGGCCGGCAAGUCAGAUGUGAAAUCCCCAGGCUCAACCUGGGAACUGCAUUUGAAGCUGUUGGUCUUGAGUAUCGGAGAGGUAAUCGGAAUUCCUUGUGUAGCGGUGAAAUGCGUAGAUAUAAGGAAGAACACCAGUGGCGAAGGCGGA
rnacentral:rRNA from 1 species